GAAUAUUGGACAAUGGGCGCAAGCCUGAUCCAGCCAUGCCGCGUGUGUGAUGAAGGCCUUCGGGUUGUAAAGCACUUUUGUACGGGAAGAAAAGCACCCGGUUAAUACCCGGGUGUCAUGACGGUACCGUAAGAAUAAGCACCGGCUAACUUCCUCCCAGCAGCCGCGGUAAUACGAAGGGUGCAAGCGUUACUCGGAAUUACUGGGCGUAAAGCGUGCGUAGGUGGUUCGUUAAGUCUGCCGUGAAAGCCCCGGGCUCAACCUGGGAAUUGCGGUGGAUACUGGCGGACUAGAGUGCGGUAGAGGGUGGUGGAAUUCCCGGUGUAGCAGUGAAAUGCGUAGAGAUCGGGAGGAACAUCUGUGGCGAAGGCGGCCACCUGGACCAGCACUGACACUGAGGCACGAAAGCGUGGGGAGCAAACAGG
rnacentral:rRNA from 1 species